GCUCAAGCCCUUUACCAGACUCUAUAUGUCGCCAGCUUCAUCGACAACUACCGACAGGAGCUUGCUAGAUACCCUGCUUUGACUACAGGUACACAACAAGUACAACCAAUAUACAAUAUUACUAGGAUUCAUGCUUGAGGAAAUACUUUUUGAACACAUAUCUUUGGCUAUAGCAAGUGCAUAGCAAUAUACAACACUGUUCCUCCACCAAUAGUUCUGAUUCUAUCUGGCCACAGCUAUAA